rnacentral:rRNA from 1 species
CCUACGGGAGGCAGCAGUCGAGAAUCAUUCACAAUGGGGGAAACCCUGAUGGUGCGACGCCGCGUGGGGGAAUGAAGGUCUUCGGAUUGUAAACCCCUGUCAUGUGGGAGCAAAUUAAAAAGAUAGUACCACAAGAGGAAGAGACGGCUAACUCUGUGCCAGCAGCCGCGGUAAUACAGAGGUCUCAAGCGUUGUUCGGAAUCACUGGGCGUAAAGCGUGCGUAGGCUGUUUCGUAAGUUGUGUGUGAAAGGCGCGGGCUCAACCCGCGGACGGCACAUGAUACUGCGAGACUAGAGUAAUGGAGGGGUAGCCGGAAGUCUCGGUGUAGCAGUGAAAUGCGUAGAUAUCGAGAGGAACACUCGUGGCGAAGGCGGGUUCCUAGACAUUAACUGACGCUGAGGCACGAAGGCGAGGGGAGCGAAAGGGAUUAGAUACCCCUGUAGUC